rnacentral:lncRNA from 1 species
GAUGGUCGAGAAGCUACAGGAGUCUGAUCAAGAGUCUGAUUCCGAUACUGCUUAGGUUUUAGGGCCUUUAAGAGGCUCUAUGGGUGAACAGAACCGUGAACACGCUAAGAGUGUGGCAGAAAGCCAUGAGCGGAGGCAUCAGUGUGAGGGAGGCUCGUGCAGCCGUCGAGAGGAGUUCGACAGAGCUUCGAGUGUGCACAGCGGACAGAGCAGACCCUACAGAGCAUCGAC